UCUGGUGGCCGCCGAGAAGAGCACGCAAGCAUAUGGGUUACAUAUUCUGGUGACCCACGACAAGAGCACGUAAGCAUAUACAUAUUCUGGUGACCGCCGAGAAGAACACGCAAACAUAUGGGUAUUGCUGCCAUAAUAGUUGGCUCGCUACAACUGAACCUUUGAACCCUUUGAACCCGACGCGCUGGUUCAUACAUGCCUCGUGAGGACAUAUCCGAGGCGCCCUGAGGAGGAUCCAGGUUCUAUAAAAACAUUACUUUGUUCUUCUGUGCUGCAAAACAUUCGAACAAUUAUUUAUUAUUAUUGUGUCAUUUAUUUUUCAUUUUUUUGGUGAAAGACAUUUUGGAGUGACAAUUGACUUUUUAAAUUUUAAAUUCCGUAUAAGAACUUUUCUUCUUCACGCAUAAACAAUAGAGACAUUAAGUGACUUUGAAUUAUCAAAAUUUGAAAAAUGAUAUUUGUAAACAUUUACAUUUUAUUUUAUAUUUUAUAUAUUAUUCAUUUUGUAAUUUUUUAUGUUGUGAUUCUUUUUAUUUUGUGUAAGGUUUUCAGCUAUUUAAAAUGGAACAGAGGGUCCGGCAGCUUAAUUAUUAAUGACGAAGUGCUAGGGAAUUAAGCGGUCGGCUGAUCGACAACACGACUAGUCUUUCUUAUAUGGCAUCCAUAACUACGGAUGACCAGGUUAGCGUAAAAACCAUAAAUGGUAAGCAUGAAAUAUUAUUCAAGUUUCCUGCUAUUUUAAGGCCUCCAGGCCUGUGCGUGAGAUCAAACAUACCACGGUGCACCUCAUCCGAACGACGGAUGGUCCGCCGGUAUCGUGUCGUCCACGCCGCCUAGGCCCUCACAAAUUAGCCAUCAAGGAUCUUCAGGAGUUUCCCUUGCCGAAGACGGUACAAGGUCUUCGAAGA